rnacentral:rRNA from 1 species
AUUGAACGCUGGCGGCAGGCCUAACACAUGCAAGUCGAGCGAGCGGCGGACGGGGGAGUAAUGUCUGGGAAACUGCCUGAUGGAGGGGGAUAACUACUGGAACAGGUAGCUAAUACCGCAUACCAUCAGAUGUGCCCAGUUGGGAUGAGCUAGUGGGUGGGGUAACGGCUCACCUAGGCGACGAUCCCUAGCUGGCAUGAGAGGAUGAACAGCCACACUGGAACUGAGACACGGUCCAUACUCCUACGGGAGGCAGCAGUGGGGAAUAUGGCACAAUGGGCGAAAGCCUGAUACAGCCACGCCGCGUGAGUGAAGAAGGCCUUCGGGUUGUAAAGCACUUUCAGCGGGGAGGCGGUACCCGCAGAAGAAGCACCGGCUAACUCCGUGCCAGCAGCCGCGGUAAUAC